rnacentral:rRNA from 1 species
CAUGUCUAAGUAUAAGCAACUUGUACUGUGAAACUGCGAAUGGCUCAUUAAAUCAGUUAUCGUUUAUUUGAUAGUACCUUACUACAUGGAUACCUGUGGUAAUUCUAGAGCUAAUACAUGCUAAAAACCCCGACUCACGAAGGGGUGUAUUUAUUAGAUAAAAAACCAACGCCCUUCGGGGCUCCUUGGUGAAUCAUAAUAACUUAACGAAUCGCAUGGCCUUGCGCCGGCGAUGGUUCAUUCAAAUUUCUGCCCUAUCAACUUUCGAUGGUAGGAUAGUGGCCUACCAUGGUGGCAACGGGUAACGGGGAAUUAGGGUUCGAUUCCGGAGAGGGAGCCUGAGAAACGGCUACCACAUCCAAGGAAGGCAGCAGGCGCGCAAAUUACCCAAUCCCGAUACGGGGAGGUAGUGACAAUAAAUACUGAUACGGGGCUCUUUUGGGUCUCGUAAUUGGAAUGAGAACAAUUUAAAUCCCUUAACGAGGAACAAUUGGAGGGCAAGUCUGGUGCCAGCAGCCGCGGUAAUUCCAGCUCCAAUAGCGUAUAUUAAAGUUGUUGCAGUUAAAAAGCUCGUAGUUGAACCUUGGGCCUGGCUGGUCGGUCCGCCUCACCGCGAGUACUGAUCCGGCUGGGCCUUUCCUUCUGGGGAACCUCAUGGCCUUCACUGGCUGUGGGGGGAACCAGGACUUUUACUGUGAAAAAAUUAGAGUGUUCAAAGCAGGCCUUUGCUCGAAUACAUUAGCAUGGAAUAAUAGAAUAGGACGUGCGGUUCUAUUUUGUUGGUUUCUAGGACCGCCGUAAUGAUUAAUAGGGAUAGUCGGGGGCGUCAGUAUUCAGCUGUCAGAGGUGAAAUUCUUGGAUUUGCUGAAGACUAACUACUGCGAAAGCAUUCGCCAAGGAUGUUUUCAUUAAUCAGGGAACGAAAGUUAGGGGAUCGAAGACGAUCAGAUACCGUCGUAGUCUUAACCAUAAACUAUGCCGACUAGGGAUCGGACGGGAUUCUAUAAUGACCCGUUCGGCACCUUACGAGAAAUCAAANUUUUUNGNUUNNUNGGGG